rnacentral:rRNA from 1 species
UCCGUAGGGUGCAAGCGUUAAUCGGAAUUACUGGGCGUAAAGCGUGCGCAGGCGGUAAUGUAAGACAGUUGUGAAAGCCCCGGGCUCAACCUGGGAACUGCAUCUGUGACUGCAUUGCUGGAGUACGGCAGAGGGGGAUGGAAUUCCGCGUGUAGCAGUGAAAUGCGUAGAUAUGCGGAGGAACACCGAUGGCGAAGGCAAUCCCCUGGGCCUGUACUGACGCUCAUGCACGAAAGCGUGGGUAGAAAACAGG